rnacentral:lncRNA from 1 species
GCGGGUGUUCGGCUACGUCACUGGGGCGCUACGGUUCCUGGAGCUGGGCAGUCUUCUCGUCAGAGUGGGGACUGGUAAGAGCGACCUCCCCGCCAGGUCCUGUGUGUUGCCGGCUGAAGAAGGGAUGAUGAUUAUUCCCCACCUUCUAAGAGACAAAGACCAACGAGCCACCACAGCCACCAGUCCCAGAACCCGCCAAUGCUGGGGAAUGGAAAAUGAGGGAGUUCAACUCUGGCCCUCACAAUCCAGUGGAGGAGACGAAACUCAUCUGCCUCUGUCCCUCUGGGCACACCUCAUGCCAGGUGCAUCUGUGGACAGGGGCCAUGCUCCUGGGCUUCCAAAGUUGGAGAAAGCUGCCAGGCUCAGACCCACCUAAGCUGAAGAUUCCCUUGAGAACAAGUACUGUCCUGUGGUUUCAUGGCCUUUCUUCCAUUUGUGGUUCUUGCGAAGUGGAAUUUAAAUGACAUCUUAUCAAGAUGGAUAAACCCUAGUUUCCCAGUGCUGGAAUAUAGAAAAUGGAUGGACAAGUAAAUCCCACUCAGUACCCAUAGGCCAGGCAUGGGGACCUCAACACACCUGAGCCCCAGACAUCACCUUUCAUUCUGGACCUACCAUGAAAGACUUCUGAAUCCAGGAAGAGAAACUGACUGGGCAACAUGUUAUUCAGAUGGGGUCCUCUUAUGUUGCCCAGGCUGGUCUCAAAUUCCUAGGCUCAAGUGAUUCCGCCCACCUCUGCCUCCCAAAGUGCUGGGAUUACGGGCAUGAGCCAGCGCAUCUGGCCACCUUAUUUUCUAUUACUGGCUCAAUGUAAUGGCUCCAUCUCAGGAACAGCCAAUGAAAGAGAUGCACAGGACAAGAGAUGGGACCUCAGUAUGUUGCCGCGGCUGACCUUGAACUCCUGCACUCAAGGGAUUUUCCUGCCCUGGCCUCCCAAAGUAUUGGUAUUACAGGC